rnacentral:rRNA from 1 species
AACGAACGCUGGCGGCAUGCCUAACACAUGCAAGUCGAACGAGACCUUCGGGUCUAGUGGCGCACGGGUGCGUAACGCGUGGGAACCUGCCCUUAGGUUCGGAAUAACUCCCCGAAAGGGGUGCUAAUACCGGAUAAUGUCUUCGGACCAAAGAUUUAUCGCCUUUGGAUGGGCCCGCGUUGGAUUAGCUAGUUGGUAGGGUAAAAGCCUACCAAGGCGACGAUGCAUAGCUGGUCUGAGAGGAUGAUCAGCCACACUGGGACUGAGACACGGCCCAGACUCCGACGGGAGGCAGCAGUGGGGAAUAUUGGACAAUGGGCGAAAGCCUGAUCCAGCAAUGCCGCGUGAGUGAUGAAGGCCGUAGGGUUGUAAAGCUCUUUUACCCGGGAUGAUAAUGACAGUACCGGGAGAAUAAGCUCCGGCUAACUACGUG